rnacentral:rRNA from 1 species
GAUGAACGCUAGCGGCAGGCUUAACACAUGCAAGUCGAGGGGUAUAGUUCUUCGGAACUAGAGACCGGCGCACGGGUGCGUAACGCGUAUGCAAUCUGCCUUUUACAGAGGGAUAGCCCAGAGAAAUUUGGAUUAAUACCUCAUAGCAUUGCAGGAUGGCAUCAUUCAGCAAUUAAAGUCACAACGGUAAAAGAUGAGCAUGCGUCCCAUUAGCUAGUUGGUAAGGUAACGGCUUACCAAGGCUACGAUGGGUAGGGGUCCUGAGAGGGAGAUCCCCCACACUGGUACUGAGACACGGACCAGACUCCUACGGGAGGCAGCAGUGAGGAAUAUUGGACAAUGGGCGCAAGCCUGAUCCAGCCAUGCCGCGUGCAGGAUGACGGUCCUAUGGAUUGUAAACUGCUUUUAUACGAGAAGAAACACUGCUUCGUGAAGCAGCUUGACGGUAUCGUAAGAAUAAGGAUCGGCUAACUCCGUGCCAGCAGCCGCGGUAAUAC